AUUUAAAUAGUUUAAUUAAAAAAUUUUAGUUUGUGAUACUAAAGAUAUAAUUUAUUUAUUUUAAAUU
rnacentral:tRNA from 1 species